GUCCCUGGCUAGGGCUCCACCCCCAUGGACCUAGCUGAGGAGAGGCACUCCUGCCUUCCACCUAAAUUUUGCAUUUCCCAAGACCACCUUGGUCCGCCAUUCCCCCAUCCUGUGCCUGUAAAAACUCCAGGCCCUAGAAGGCACACACGCACAAGUGGCUGGACUUCGUGAGGAAUUCAUAGGGGAAGAAGAUGCAAGUGGCUGGUCAUGGAGAGGACUUUUUGACGAGCGCCGGCAAAAGAGCACAGCGAAGAAAUCCCAGGAUACGGAAGGCCCUCUGUACUUGCAACAAGAGUUUCACUGUGUCAGCCAGGCUUGAGUGGCAUGAUCUCGGCUCACUGCAACCUCCGUCUCCUGGGCUCAAGCAAUUCUCCUGCCUCAGCCUCCGGAGCAGCUGGGAUUACAGGACUAAUAGUGAAACUUGAGAGUGAUCACAUAUGGAGAUGAAAGAUUGAAAGACCUCUCGCUGAACAUAAUAUAGAAGGUAUAAAAUAAUCUCAAGUCCCCUCCAUCUCAAAAUCACAGCAUUAACAAUGAAAACUAAACAUAGCUGUACCAAGGAUGACCCAGCAAGAAGGUUCUCAUCAGUGGCUGACCAGAUGCCAGAAACAUGCCAUUGGAGUGCCCAGCCUUCAGAACAUUGUGGUGCAGUGAGACACGUAAACCUCAUGGAGAAUCCCUAUGUAAGUGCUCCAGUUCACUGCCAGCUGUGUGAAACUGUAUUGAAUAUCCAGGUGAAGCCAAGGCUUCAGAUGACUCAAAUCCCAACCACCAUUUGUCUGACUGCAACUGCAGGAGAGAUCCCAAGGAAGAUCACAGUUGAGCCUGACCCAAAGCCAACCCAAAUAUCUGUAAGAAAUAUUAAUAAAUUGUUGUAAGCCACUAACUUUUAAAGUGGUGUGUUAUAUAGCAAUGGGUAACUAAA